CUUUUAUCUCCAUCCACCAAACUUCUCUAUUUCGACAUGAAGGAUUGACGUGCACGGAGUAAUGAAGGAUUUUGAACUUUCUCUUCUGUUGUGUUGCUUCAUUGCGGAAAAUAAAUUUCUCGUCCAAACGGUUGAAAAAGUUUGUAGAAAAAGAACUAUCCAUUUUGUGACUGGAGUACAUAUAUUCAUUUAAACUUGCAAUUUCACUACCCACAUGAAAACUAAGGCUUAUGCAAUAUGGGAGAAAAAACAGUAACCAACUAGCAUGGUUUCUGAACAGCUUUUGUUUUAUUGGAUGUGGCAAAUCUAUCCUAUGUUUAAUAGUUUUUCGCAUUCUUUCAGUGCCACUUUACAAUGCAAAAAUAAAAACCUUCGCGUUAUUGUUUUA